CAUUAUGUCUUCAUAGAGCGCAUGUAUUUUUGAUAAAUUUGAAAUAUGAUAUAGGAAGGAACUAUUAUUAUAUACGUAUACGGGGUCAGUUUCUACGGGAACAUAUUUUUUGUUACUUAAAUGUAUUAUAUUGUCGCAUAAUGCGAAAGGGGAAAUUGAAAAGAAAAUUAUUCCGUACACGCCUUUACUCUUAUGUUAUCCUUAUGUAUAAUCCGUCCUUUAUUAGUCGUUACAGUCUUUUCGUUAUCUUGUUUUACAACUUGCUUCGCGUAUUCUCUUACGUUCUUAUUUCGCCUGUGCGUCUUGGAAAAUAUUACGUCACCUGGAUUAUAGUUCAGCUGCUUUCGAUUGCGAUUAUAAUGACGCAAGACUCUUUCCUGGUUUUGUUGUAUUCGUUCUUGGAUGUCGGGAUAUCUCCUUUGAUUAUAAAACACGUCCUCGGGUGUCUUGUUGAUAACGGAAUGUAUGGUUUUGUUGUACUGCCGAACAGCUUCAAAAAUUUGGUCUUCCGGUGCUGAAUUAUUCUGGUCAGCUAAAACUUUCGCGAUUUCAAUAAUUGUACUGUGCGUACGCUCAACUUGUCCGUUUGUAGUAGAAUGGAACGCUGGCGUUUUUGUGUGCGUUAUUUUUAAUCGUUUGUAAAUUUGUUGUGCACAUAUGCUUGUAAACGAUAGAUCGUUAUCAGUCAUUAAAAAUUUUGCGUUUUUGGGUAUAUUUGUGAAAGAAUCUCGUCAACGUAUUUGUAUGUAUCUUUCCUUGAAGGUAUUUGUCUAAAGUAGCAAAAUUUUGAGUAUUUGUCCGUUGAGCUAAUGUAUAUGUUAUCGCUCAUGUAGAAUAACAGCUCUAUUCUGAAAAAAAACUCUCAACUGAGUUGAGAGGAAAAAUUUGAGAGAUUUCUUGUGAGGCAUAUUUUGUGAGGCUAUUCUUGCUCAAACCUCAUAAGAAAAAAGCUUAAAAAAGUCACCACCUGAGGUAAAAAGCUUUUAGCUGUCAAACAGCUGUUUUAUUCCUAGGCGUACAAAACGGAGAGGAUAACUCAGGAGCAGCUGCAACAUUACAUAAUGUUUUGCAAGCAGCAUCCUGAGUUACAACGGGGGAAGCUAACUCCGACCAACCCUCAAGGGCUGCAAAUACUUUGGUCGGAGCUAGCAGAUAAUUUAAAUGCCUUAAGAGGUCCAACUCGGUCGGCAGCCAAGUGGAGGGAGUCAUUGAUGCAUUGGAAACAUCAGUUGCGAUCGCGAGCGCGCCAGCUGAAGGCACAUGCGCAAGCGACUGGUGGAGGCCCUCCGAUAAAUGGAAUGAGCGAAUUCGAUGAGCAAGCAAUUUGAACUUUUGGAGCAGCAGCGGUGGAUGGAUUGCCGGGUGUUGCGACUUUGGGUCACCAGGUUUUGCCGUUGUAUUUAAAUACAGUCACAUCGCCUGCUCCAGCGCCAACACCAACAUUCACAUCGCCUGCUCCAGCACCCUCCCCAGCAGUCACAUCGUCGCAUCGCCUGCUCCAGCAUCCUCGUCAGCAGUCACAUCUCCUGAUCCAGCUUUUCCUGCUCUGACUUUAAAUUUUUCUUCCUCGCCAUCACCUCAUUUUUCUUCCUCACCAUCACCUCCAUCUUCUUCCUUAUCUCCUCCCAUCUUAUCUGCUCAUAUGCCAACUCCUUCUUACAUCCCUCCUGAAAAAUUGACUGCAGCGAAGAUGCUUGGGACAGUGCUAAAGAAAAUGGAGGAUCGGGAAAAGCGUGAGGAGGAGGCCAUUGCUCUACAAAGGAAAAUUGUUGAGCAAAAUGUGCAGAUGACAGGGGUGCUGACCCAGAUGACAAAAGCACUAACCUCGCUGUCAGAGGUUAUGGCAAAAUUGUCUGAAAAAUUAG